AGCGAACGCUGGCGGCAGGCCUAACACAUGCAAGUCGAGCGGCCCUUCGGGUACACGAGUGGCGAACGGGUGAGUAACACGUGGGUGAUCUGCCCUGCACUUUGGGAUAAGCCUGGGAAACUGGGCCUAAUACCGAAUAGGAUCACGGCCUUCAUGGGUUGUGGUGGAAAGCUUUUGCGGUGUGGGAUGGGCCCGCGGCCUAUCAGCUUGUUGGUGGGGUAAUGGCCUACCAAGGCGACGACGGGUAGCCGGCCUGAGAGGGUGACCGGCCACAGUGGGACUGCGAUACGGCCCAGACUCCUGCGGGAGGCAGCGGUGGGGAAUAUUGCACAAUGGGCGCAAGCCUGAUGCAGCGACGCCGCGUGAGGGAUGACGGCCUGCGGGUUGUAAACCUCUUUCAGUAGGGACGAAGCGCAAGUGACGGUACCUAUAGAAGAAGGACCGGCCAACUACGUGCCAGCCGCCGCGGUAACAC
rnacentral:rRNA from 1 species